CCUACGGGAGGCAGCAGUGGGGAAUAUUGCACAAUGGGCGCAAGCCUGAUGCAGCGACGCCGCGUGCGGGAUGGAGGCCUUCGGGUUGUAAACCGCUUUUGAUCGGGAGCAAGCCCUUCGGGGUGAGUGUACCUUUCGAAUAAGCACCGGCUAACUACGUGCCAGCAGCCGCGGUAAUACGUAGGGUGCAAGCGUUAUCCGGAAUUAUUGGGCGUAAAGGGCUCGUAGGCGGUUCGUCGCGUCCGGUGUGAAAGCCCAUCGCUUAACGGUGGGUCUGCGCCGGGUACGGGCGGGCUGGAGUGCGGUAGGGGAGACUGGAAUUCCCGGUGUAACGGUGGAAUGUGUAGAUAUCGGGAAGAACACCAAUGGCGAAGGCAGGUCUCUGGGCCGUCACUGACGCUGAGGAGCGAAAGCGUGGGGAGCGAACAGGAUUAGAUACCCUGGUAGUCCACGCCGUAAACGGUGGAUGCUGGAUGUGGGGCCCGUUCCACGGGUUCCGUGUCGGAGCUAACGCGUUAAGCAUCCCGCCUGGGGAGUACGGCCGCAAGGCUAAAACUCAAAGAAAUUGACGGGGGCCCGCACAAGCGGCGGAGCAUGCGGAUUAAUUCGAUGCAACGCGAAGAACCUUACCUGGGCUUGACAUGUUCCCGACGGCCGUAGAGAUAUGGCCUCCCUUCGGGGCGGGUUCACAGGUGGUGCAUGGUCGUCGUCAGCUCGUGUCGUGAGAUGUUGGGUUAAGUCCCGCAACGAGCGCAACCCUCGCCCUGUGUUGCCAGCACGUCAUGGUGGGAACUCACGGGGGACCGCCGGGGUCAACUCGGAGGAAGGUGGGGAUGACGUCAGAUCAUCAUGCCCCUUACGUCCAGGGCUUCACGCAUGCUACAAUGGCCGGUACAGCGGGAUGCGACAUGGCGACAUGGAGCGGAUCCCUGAAAACCGGUCUCAGUUCGGAUUGGAGUCUGCAACCCGACUCCAUGAAGGCGGAGUCGCUAGUAAUCGCGGAUCAGCAACGCCGCGGUGAAUGCGUUCCCGGGCCUUGUACACACCGCCCGUCAAGUCAUGAAAGUGGGCAGCACCCGAAGCCGGUGGCCUAACCCCUUGUGGGAUGGAGCCGUCUAAGGUGAGGCUCGUGAUUGGGACUAAGUCGUAACAAGGUAGCCGUACCGGAAGGUGCGGCUG
rnacentral:rRNA from 1 species